UGGGUCGCGAAAGUACUCCAAAAUAAACUUAAAUCCCAAAUAACCAAAUUCUCAACUUCGACAAGGUCAGGGCACAAAAAUAUUCCCAAAUAAACUUAUCCCAAAUAACCAAAUUCUCGACGUAAAUGCUUGAAAAUAUCCACGGUGAAGUGUAUAAACAAGGAGGUUCAAGAGCCUCCGUUGAAAAUCUUGACUGUCUCUCUACAUCCUUCCCAUCUCCAGAUCUUGGGCUAUAGGGCGGCUAAGGCCCGCGCUGCUCGAGCCAGGCUGCUUAGGGGUGAGCAUGGUCCGGGUUGGUCUGGGCCACCCCCUAACCCUAGGACCAACCCGUACAGUGUCGGUCCUCAAUUUUUAGGACCGAGGACCGACCCUAUUGAGCUUGGGAUCAAGAACCGGACCGACCCAAUGGGUUCGGUCCGGUUCCAGGGUCAACCUAGGACCGAUCGAUAAAUUUUUUCAUCUUAUUUUUUAUGCUCCCUAAAAAAGCAAACCUACAAAUUCAAAUUACACAUCUAUCGACAAUGCGGCAUUAUGCAACUAAAUUAUAAAUACCAAUACAUAUUUAGCAAAUUUAAGAUGACAAAAUAAUAUAAAGUUCUUGUUAUCAUCUAUCUUUAAUAUUCAUAACACCAUAUGCAAAAACGUUUUCCUGCAUUCGAUCAUAUAAAGUCCACUCAACCAAAAAAUGAACUUCACAUCACUGGACUAGCAAAUCACCGUAGCAACUGCAGUACUACUCUACUCUUCAAAAACUUAUACCAUUUGACACAAAUUAAAAAGCAAAAUGCAGCUGAAAUUCAUUAGUAAAAUACAAUGAAACCAUAAAAAGUUCAAAAUACUUAAUAUAAACCAUGAAUAUAUAACUUCACAUCUUGUUAAUUCAUUUGUUAAUUCAUUUGAACUUCUAAACACUUGAAAACAAAACAAACAACACAUAAUUAAUACUCAACAAAAGUUUUAAAUUGAAAUUACUAUUAGUGCUAUUGAUAGAACAUCUCAAUAUAAUAUAAUAUAACAGACAUUUUACUUAAGUUUGAAUAUAUAAAAGAAUUACAAAUAAUAUAAUAUAAUAUACAUGGUUGGUUUAGGGUUGGACCGACCCAAAACUCUUAGGACCGAGGACUAACCUGUACAGUUUCAGGACCAAGGACUGAUCCAGUCCCCUUGGGAACCAGACUAGGACCGGCAGGGUUGGGCCGGUCUAGGGUCGGUCCAGGGUCGACCCUAGACCGCUGCUCACCCCUAAGGCUGCUGCCGUGUUCUGGCAUCUUUU
rnacentral:lncRNA from 1 species